rnacentral:rRNA from 1 species
AUGGCUAAGAUCCAGGAGAGGAAGACGAGGGAUAUUGGCCAAGUCAAAUGCAUCAAGGACGGAGCAGGCCAACUCUUGGUGAAGGACGAAGAGAUUAAGCAUAGAUGGCGGGAGUACUUCGACAAGCUGUUCAAUGGGGAGAAUGAGAGUUCUACCAUUAAACUGAAUGACUCCUUUGAUGAGACCAGCAUGCGUUUUGUGCGGCGCAUCCAGGAGUCUGAGGUGAAGGAGGCUUUAAAAAGGAUGAAAGGAGGCAAGGCGAUGGUCCCUGAUUGUAUCCCCAUUGAGGUGUGGAAAGGUCUCGGGGACAUAGCGAUAGUAUGGCUAACCAAGCUUUUCAACCUCAUUUUUCGGGCAAACAAGAUGCCAGAAGAAUGGAGACGGAGUAUAUUAGUACCAAUCUUCAAGAACAAGGGAGAUGUUCAGAGUUGUACUAAUUACCGUGGAAUUAAGCUGAUGAACCGUACAAUGAAGCUAUGGGAGAGAGUCAUUGAGCACCGCUUAAGAAGAAUGACAAGCGUGACCAAAAAUCAGUUUGGUUUCAUGCCUGGGAGGUCGACCAUGGAAGCCAUUUUCUUGGUACGACAACUUAUGGAGAGAUAUAGGGAGCAUAAGAAGGACUUGCAUAUGGUGUUCAUUGACUUGGAGAAGGCCUAUGAUAAGAUACCGCGGAAUGUCAUGUGGUGGACCUUGGAGAAACACAAAGUCCCAGCAAAGUACAUUACCCUCAUCAAGGACAUGUACAAUAAUGUUGUGACAAGUGUUCGAACAAGUGAUGUCGACACCGAUGACUUCCCGAUUAAGAUAGGACUGCAUCAGGGGUCAGCUUUGAGCCCUUAUCUUUUUGCAUUGGUGAUGGAUGAGGUCACAAGGGGUAUACAAGGAGAUAUCCCAUGGUGUAUGCUCUUUGCAGAUGAUGUGGUGCUAGUUGACGAUAGUCGGACGGGGGUAAAUAGGAAGUUAGAGUUAUGGAGACAAACCUUGGAAUCGAAAGGGUUUAGGCUUAGUAGAACUAAAACCGAGUACAUGAUGUGCGGUUUCAGUACUACUAGUUGUGAGGAGGAGGAGGUUAGCCUUGAUGGCCAGGUGGUACCUCGGAAGGACACCUUUCGAUAUUUGGGGUCAAUGUUGCAGGAGGAUGGGGGUAUUGAUGAAGAUGUGAACCAUUGA